rnacentral:rRNA from 1 species
GAAUAUUGGACAAUGGAGGAGACUCUGAUCCAGCCAUGCCGCGUGUAGGAAGAAUGCCCUAUGGGUUGUAAACUACUUUUAUACAGGAAGAAACACUGGUAUGUAUACCAGCUUGACGGUACUGUAAGAAUAAGGACCGGCUAACUCCGUGCCAGCAGCCGCGGUAAUACGGAGGGUCCGAAGCGUUAUCCGGAAUCAUUGGGUUUAAAGGGUCCGCAGGCGGUCGAUUAAGUCAGAGGUGAAAUCCCAUAGCUCAACUAUGGAACUGCCUUUGAUACUGGUUGACUUGAGUCAUAUGGAAGUAGAUAGAAUGUGUAGUGUAGCGGUGAAAUGCAUAGAUAUUACACAGAAUACCGAUUGCGAAGGCAGUCUACUACGUAUGUACUGACGCUGAGGGACGAAAGCGUGGGGAGCGAACAGGAUUAGAUACCCUGGUAGUCCACGCCGUAAACGAUGGAUACUAGUUGUUGGGAUUUAUCUCAGUGACUAAGCGAAAGUGAUAAGUAUCCCACCUGGGGAGUACGGUCGCAAGACUG